CCGGCCGCCCUGCGGGGCCUUAGGGCUUUAGCCGGGUGCACUACGACUGCUCGGGGUUCGAAGUUUGGCUCAACUCGGCUGCUGACUCGAAGGCUAUUCUGCUUCCUCCACACAGUCAGUCUUGGGUGGGAUUGGAGGGCAGGUGAUCGCCGCUAACCCCACUUGAGAGGUGAGCGGAUCAAGAUCAGGCAAGGAUCUCCCUGAGUCUCUAAGCUGCCAGGCUGGGCUUGAACUUGCCAUCUUCCUGCCUCAGCCUCCCAGAGUGCUGGGAUUACAAGCAUGCACUACCACACUUGGCUUCACGAUAUGUUGUUAACCAAGUAAAAGCAAAGGCUAGAAGAGCAGGUGGAGGUAUUGUGUCCAGCAAUCCUUUCCAGGCUUUCACUGUCCUAUUCAAAGAAUUGGAUGGAACAACUGAUGAACAUGAAAGUUUGAUGUUUAUGGCAAAAGAAGAAGAAAAAGAAGCCUAAAAGAAGGGCAGAGGAAGAAAAAAUGCUCUGCAGGAAAAGAGAAGAUACACCCUGUGAACAGGCUGGGCAAGGAAAAGGCAGCAUUCUCUGACUGGUAUCGGGUGCAGGGCUCAGUCACUGUUCUGCAUGCGUGUCCUGAAUGUCUGAGUAACAUUUCUUCCCCAGUGACAGGUCACGCCCAAUUGCCCAGCUGCUUUGCCGUGCCCUAAUCUCCUGCCUCACUUGCUCCAUCGCUUGGUCUCUUUCUCAUUUAUAAAAGAUCUAGAGACAGAUAGGUGAUCUGUGGGUGUAUUCACGGUGUUGCUGGGAAGGCCCAGCUGGCUGAUCUCCCAGACUUGCACUCACUGUGUCCCAGGUGCUCCCUGCUCCUUGUAGAUAAGGAAAGAAUGUCUCCUUGAAGAUGUUUAUUUAGAUGUAUGGCUUGCAAUAGCUUGAGUCUGGGAACAGAAUCUACUGUUUCCUAUAAAUUGUAAUCUCUGUAAUGUUUCAACUUCUUUUUUGAAUAAUGUAGCCUGUUCUGCACUGAAAGUAGUGACUAGCGGCAUGUAGCAGCUCAUUGCUUAAGAUAUAAAAAGAGGAACAAAUAAAGAUCUUGGUCUUAGCUCCUUGAAGCUCUGACCCUCUGGGC